rnacentral:misc_RNA from 1 species
CAGGACUCGCAAGACUCCCGUAACCCACGCGAACCUUACCUUUGCAUCGUUGCCUCGGCGGGCUGCGCUCCCUCGGGGGCCUACAACUCUUCUGCUUCUUAAGCGUUGGCAUCUCCGAGUAAAAACACAAACGAAUCA